rnacentral:tRNA from 1 species
GGAGGGUACAGCUCAGGGGUGGAGCGCAUGCUUGGCACGCACGAGGUCCUGGUUUCAAUCCCCAGUUCCUCUA